AGAGUUUGAUCCUGGCUCAGGAUGAACGCUAGCUACAGGCUUAACACAUGCAAGUCGAGGGGAAACGACAUCGAAAGCUUGCUUUUGAUGGGCGUCGACCGGCGCACGGGUGAGUAACGCGUAUCCAACCUGCCCAUCACUUGGGGAUAACCUUGCGAAAGUAAGACUAAUACCCAAUGAUAUCUCUAGAAGACAUCUGAAGGAGAUUAAAGAUUCAUCGGUGAUGGAUGGGGAUGCGUCUGAUUAGCUUGUUGGCGGGGUAACGGCCCACCAAGGCGACGAUCAGUAGGGGUUCUGAGAGGAAGGUCCCCCACAUUGGAACUGAGACACGGUCCAAACUCCUACGGGAGGCAGCAGUGAGGAAUAUUGGUCAAUGGGCGAGAGCCUGAACCAGCCAAGUAGCGUGCAGGAUGACGGCCCUAUGGGUUGUAAACUGCUUUUAUAAGGGAAUAAAGUGAGUCUCGUGAGACUUUUUGCAUGUACCUUAUGAAUAAGGACCGGCUAAUUCCGUGCCAGCAGCCGCGGUAAUACGGAAGGUCCGGGCGUUAUCCGGAUUUAUUGGGUUUAAAGGGAGCGUAGGCCGGAGAUUAAGCGUGUUGUGAAAUGUAGAUGCUCAACAUCUGCACUGCAGCGCGAACUGGUUUCCUUGAGUACGCACAAAGUGGGCGGAAUUCGUGGUGUAGCGGUGAAAUGCUUAGAUAUCACGAAGAACUCCGAUUGCGAAGGCAGCUCACUGGAGCGCAACUGACGCUGAAGCUCGAAAGUGCGGGUAUCGAACAGGAUUAGAUACCCUGGUAGUCCGCACGGUAAACGAUGGAUGCCCGCUGUUGGCCUGAAUAGGUCAGCGGCCAAGCGAAAGCAUUAAGCAUCCCACCUGGGGAGUACGCCGGCAACGGUGAAACUCAAAGGAAUUGACGGGGGCCCGCACAAGCGGAGGAACAUGUGGUUUAAUUCGAUGAUACGCGAGGAACCUUACCAGGCCUUGACAUCCCGGUGACCGUCCCGUAAUGGGGACCUCUCUUCGGAGCACCGGUGACAGGUGGUGCAUGGUUGUCGUCAGCUCGUGUCGUGAGAUGUUGGGUUAAGUCCCGCAACGAGCGCAACCCCUAUGUUCAGUAGCCAGCAGGUAAAGCUGGGCACUCUGGACAGACUGCCGGGGAUAACCCGGAGGAAGGCGGGGAUGACGUCAAAUUAUCAUGCCCCUUACGGCCUGGGCUACACACGUGCUACAAUGGCGUAAACAAAGGGAAGCGAGAGGGUGACCUGGAGCGAAUCCCAAAAAUAACGUCCCAGUUCGGACUGUAGUCUGCAACCCGACUACACGAAGCUGGAAUCGCUAGUAAUCGCAGAUCAGAAUGCUGCGGUGAAUACGUUCCCGGGUCUUGCACACACCGCCCGUCAAG
rnacentral:rRNA from 1 species